GGGGAUUUAGCUCAGCAGUAGAGCGCUUGCCUUGCAAACGCAAGGCCCUGGGUUCGGUCCCCAGCUCCG
rfam:Rattus norvegicus chromosome 20, whole genome shotgun sequence.